rnacentral:rRNA from 1 species
AUUGAACGCUGGCGGAAUGCUUUACACAUGCAAGUCGAACGGCAGCACGGACUUCGGUCUGGUGGCGAGUGGCGAACGGGUGAGUAAUGUAUCGGAACGUGCCCAGUCGUGGGGGAUAACGUAGUGAGAAUUACGCUAAUACCGCAUACGAUCUAUGGAUGAAAGCGGGGGAUCGCAAGACCUCGCGCGAUUGGAGCGGCCGAUAUCAGAUUAGGUAGUUGGUGGGGUAAAGGCCCACCAAGCCAACGAUCUGUAGCUGGUCUGAGAGGACGACCAGCCACACCGGAACGGAGACACGGUCCAGACUCCUACGGGAGGCAGCAGUGGGGAAUUUUGGACAAUGGGCGAAAGCCUGAUCCAGCCAUUCCGCGUGCAGGAUGAAGGCCCUCGGGUUGUAAACUGCUUUUGUACAGAACGAAAAGGUUUCUACUAAUACUAGGAGCUCAUGACGGUACUGUAAGAAUAAGCACCGGCUAACUACGUGCCAGCAGCCGCCGUAA